rnacentral:rRNA from 1 species
UGGGGAAUCAUGGUCAAUGGGCGAAAGCCUGAACCUGCGACGCCGCGUGAGUGAUGAAGGCCUUAGGGUUGUAAAGCUCUUUCAGCUGUGAAGAUAAUGACGGUAGCAGCAGAAGAAGUCUCGGCUAACUCCGUGACAGCAGCCGCGGUAAAACGGAGGGGACGAGCGUUGUUCGGAAUUACUGGGCGUAAAGCGCACGUAGGCGGAUCGGAAAGUUGGGGGUGAAAUCCCCGGGCUCAACCCGGGAACUGCCUUCAAAACUAUCGGUCUGGAGUUCGAGAGAGGGGGGUGGAAUUCCGAGUGUAGAGGUGAAAUUCGUAGAUAUUCGGAGGAACACCAGUGGCGAAGGCGGCUCACUGGCUCGAUACUGACGCUGAGGUGCGAAAGCGUGGGGAGCAAACA